GCCGUCGGAGCAGACAAACUACUGAAACUCGUCGCAAUGCUGGAUCGUAACAUCCGUGACGCCAUCUCGGCCGACAAUCAACGUCUUCUCGUCCCGUGUGACGAUGACGUGGAUGUUGGUGACGUGCUCGAAAAGGAAAUCUGCGAGGAACGAGUGAAACGAGCAUCCGACGCUGCCGUUGUAGCACUGAAUAUCAUGUCGAGUCAUCGAAUGCACAAACAAGUUAUCAUAGAGGAUGUCAUUGAUCGAUGUGUUGGAUUGACUCGUCUCUUGCUUAUUCAUUUAAUCUACCCAGCGUCGGAUAGUAUCUACAAAUCGGUUAAUUCUAAGAAAAAAGGUGCAUUUUGUAGUUUUAAGCAUCUCCAUUAAAGGAGGACUAACGGUUUGACCAAUUUGAACGUACAGACCCAAAAUGAGCUCAAAUAAACGAAUUUUGUAAUGAAAAUUCUCAAAAACUUUCCAAAACAUUUUUUAUGGCGGUUCAAAAUUUCGAAAAAAUGACACUGAUUUUAGCUUGAAACUUGAAUUUUGGACAUUUUCCGUGCCUCAUCUGCCCGAAGUUAACUUUUUUGGAAUUAUCAUCCUUUAUUGCAUAUUUAGGUAGUUUAUCUCAUUUAAUUUCGUUGAUUAAGGUAUAUUUAAAGCCAAUAGGUAACCAAUUUCGAUGAUUUUUGGUUACCUAUUGGCUUUAAAUGUACCUUAAUCAACGAAAUUAAAUUAGAUAAACUACCUAAAUAUGCAAUAAAGGAUGAUAAUUCCGAAAAAAGUUAUCUUCGGACAGAUGUGACACGGAAAAUGUCCAAAAUUCGAGUUCCAAACUAAAAUCAGUGUAAUUUUUUCGAAAUUUUGAACCGCCAUAAAAAAUUUUUGGAAAGUUUUUGACAAUUUUCAUUACGAAAUUCAUUUGAGCCUAUUUUGGGUCUAUGAGUUCAAAUUGGUUCAAAUUUAAUUUCAAAUUUUGCAGACCGUGCACCAGAAGAAGCUCGUCGUCGAAAGAAAGCUGGCGUGUGCACUCGCGAUAAGUUCAGCGAGUACAUUUACGAACGAAUAACCGAAGCAAUCGGUCUGCUGGCAGUUUUAGUGAAAAGUGAAUCAAUGACUGAUACUUCCGUUCAUAAUGUCGCAUCUGUUGCGUUGACGCCGUUCUUUGUUGCAAAUGUUGGAUCACUGCAGAUUACUG
rnacentral:sRNA from 1 species